GAGGAGCUUGCUCCUUUGACGUUAGCGGCGGACGGGUGAGUAACACGUAGGUAACCUACCUAUAAGACUGGGAUAACUUCGGGAAACCGGAGCUAAUACCGGAUAAUAUUUCGAACCGCAUGGUUCGAUAGUGAAAGAUGGGUUU
rnacentral:rRNA from 1 species